UACGUAGGGUGCAAGCGUUGUCCGGAAUUAUUGGGCGUAAAGAGCUCGUAGGCGGUUUGUUGCGUCGGCUGUGAAAUCCCGAGGCUCAACCUCGGGUCUGCAGUCGAUACGAGCAAACUAGAGUGUUGCAGGGGAGACUGGAAUUCCUGGUGUAGCGGUGAAAUGACGCAGAUAUCAGGAGGAACACCGGUGGCGAAGGCGGGACUCUGGGCCGAUACUGACGCUGAGGAGCGAAAGCGUGGGGAGCAAACAGG
rnacentral:rRNA from 1 species